rnacentral:rRNA from 1 species
AUUCCAGCUCCAAUAGCGUAUAUUAAAGUUGUUGCAGUUAAAAAGCUCGUAGUUGAACUUCUGGCGGAUGUUUUCGCUGGCUUCGGUCGCGUUAAUGUCUGUCAUUCGCUAGGGAACCUCGUUCGGUCUUCAUUGGCCGGCGGGAGGAUCUGGCAUUUUACUUUGAAAAAAUUAGAGUGUUCAAGGCAGGCAAUCGCCAUGAAUACACAAGCAUGGAAUAAUGGAAUAGGACUUAUGGUCAUUUUAUUGGUUAUUGACUGUAAGUAAUGAUUAAUAGGGACAGUUGGGGGCAUUAGUAUUUAAUUGUCAGAGGUGAAAUUCUUGGAUUUAUUAAAGACUAACUUAUGCGAAAGCAUUUGCCAAGGAUGUUUUCAUUA